rnacentral:rRNA from 1 species
AGGAAUAUUGGUCAAUGGCCGAGAGGCUGAACCAGCCAAGUCGCGUGAGGGAUGACGGCCCUACGGGUUGUAAACCUCUUUUGUCGGGGAGCAAAGAGAGUCACGUGUGGCUCAUUGAGAGUACCCGAAGAAAAAGCAUCGGCUAACUCCGUGCCCGCAGCCGCGGUAAUACGGAGGAUGCGAGCGUUAUCCGGAUUUAUUGGGUUUAAAGGGUGCGCAGGCGGAGGUGCAAGUCAGUGGUCAAAUUGCGGGGCUCAACCCCGUACUGCCGUUGAAACUGCAUCCCUUGAGUGCGCGAGAAGUAUGCGGAAUGCGUGGUGUAGCGGUGAAAUGCAUAGAUAUCACGCAGAACUCCGAUUGCGAAGGCAGCAUACCGGCGCGCAACUGACGCUCAUGCACGAAAGCGUGGGUAUCGAACA